CUUCACAAGAGUCACACACCACACAAACUUUUUCUGAAGACAUAGGGGUAUUUCGGUAAAAAAAAGAUGUAUAUGCAGAACUGGACCAAAAUGUAUAUGCAGGACGUGGAGAGUUUGAGUAUAUGUAGGACUAGCAAUGCACAAAGAUGUACUCAGAUUCGGACUCAAGACAGCAACAAGGCAGCUGUCAAUUUGGAUUCAAAACCGAUUCCAACUCGAACUCAACACCACGUGGGAUUCGAUCUUAAACAAACUCAGAUUCCUACUCGGACUUGAAUACAAGGAUGUAUUCGGAUUCAGCCAACCAAAGGUUUAUAUGGUAGCACACAACUGUGACUAGAACAUGAUAAGAACUCGAAACUCUAAAGGACUAAAACUAAGACCAGCAACUCGACACGAUCGAUGCAACCAAAAAAUCAACAAGCCCUAACUAAGCAGUGCUAGCAAAGGCUCAAAGGGUUUAUAGGAUUGUG
rnacentral:lncRNA from 1 species